AGUCGAACGAGAAAGUGGGGGCAACCCUGCGAGUACAGUGGCAGACGGGUGAGUAACACGUGAACAACCUACCCUCGAGUGGGGAAUAACACCGCGAAAGCGGUGCUAAUACCGCAUAAAAUCUUUUUAUCGCAUGAUGGAGAGAUCAAAAGCGCAAGUUGCUUGAGGAGGGGUUCGCGGCUGAUUAGCUAGUUGGUGAGGUAACGGCCCACCAAGGCAACGAUCAGUAGCCGGCCUGAGAGGGCGGACGGCCACACUGGAACUGAGACACGGUCCAGACUCCUACGGGAGGCAGCAGUGGGGAAUUUUGCGCAAUGGGCGAAAGCCUGACGCAGCAACGCCGCGUGGAGGAUGAAGGCCUUCGGGUCGUAAACUCCUGUCGAUGGGGACGAAAACCUCGCAAGGGGUCUGACUGUACCCGUUGAGGAAGCCACGGCUAACUCCGUGCCAGCAGCCGCGGUAAUACGGAGGUGGCAAGCGUUGUUCGGAAUUACUGGGCGUAAAGGGCGCGUAGGCGGCGGAGCAAGUCAGAUGUGAAAGCCCCGGGCUUAACUCGGGAAUUGCAUCUGAAACUGCUGUGCUUGAGUCCUGGAGGGGGUAGUGGAAUUCCCAGUGUAGCGGUGAAAUGCGUAGAUAUUGGGAGGAACACCUGCGGCGAAGGCGGCUACCUGGACAGUGACUGACGCUGAGGCGCGAAAGCUAGGGGAGCGAACGGGAUUAGAUACCCCGGUAGUCCUAGCCGUAAACGAUGGGCAUUUGGUGUUGGGGGUAUUGAGUCCCUCGGUGCCGGAGCUAACGCGAUAAGUGCCCCGCCUGGGGAGUACGGUCGCAAGACUGAAACUCAAAG
rnacentral:rRNA from 1 species